ACACAGACAGCGCGUCGGUGUGACAUGCUGUUGAGCAGCAAACUUUCUGUGACGCUCCGGUUAAACUGGGAGUGGCUCCCUCAAAAGAACAAGGAGGAAAAUCAGCCUCGGCUGACAGAUUGUAUCUCCACUGACCCACAUGGAGCUUCAAUGCAGGAGUGAGCAGCGUGCAUGUAUCAGCUCUGUAGAUAGGAGUCUCUCAGUCUGUCAGGAUGACAGUCAAGCUAUCAGAGUGUACAAGGUCUGAUUGGCCGACGGGACUUCUGACCUGUUCCAACAUGCCACUUCAAGACCCAGACAUCUCAAGAGUUUGCUAAAACCUGAGUGGAUAUUGCCACACAGUUCCAGUGAAUGACUCACAGUGGUAGAAAGUAUAAUCAUGAUUACUUAUGAGAUGUUUGUCACCUACUUUACUUGAGUAUUAUUACUGUAUUUACAUAUUAAUUGUAAAUACAAGUGACUUUUAUGAUUAAAUAUUUUCCUUAAAACCUGUUAAACAAGUAUGUAAAUGUAAAAGGACCCCAUAGCAAGUGAAAGCCUCAGGUGACAAUAUAGAAGAGUUCU